rnacentral:rRNA from 1 species
GAUGAACGCUGGCGGCGUGCCUAAUACAUGCAAGUCGAGCGAACAGACGAGGAGCUUGCUCCUCUGACGUUAGCGGCGGACGGGUGAGUAACACGUGGAUAACCUACCUAUAAGACUGGGAUAACUUCGGGAAACCGGAGCUAAUACCGGAUAAUAUAUUGAACCGCAUGGUUCAAUAGUGAAAGACGGUUUUGCUGUCACUUAUAGAUGGAUCCGCGCCGCAUUAUCUAGUUGGUAAGGUAACGGCUUACCAAGGCAACGAUGCGUAGCCGACCUGAGAGGGUGAUCGGCCACACUGGAACUGAGACACGGUCCAGACUCCUACGGGAGGCAGCAGUAGGGAAUCGUCCGCAAUGGGCGAAAGCCUGACGGAGCAACGCCGCGUGAGUGAUGAAGGUCUUCGGAUCGUAAAACUCUGUUAUUAGGGAAGAACAAAUGUGUAAGUAACUAUGCACGUCUUGACGGUACCUAAUCAGAAAGCCACGGCUAACUACGUG